rnacentral:lncRNA from 1 species
AGGCACAAUAAACAUAAAAAAAAAAGUUUUAUUGCAAAAUAACUGUAUACAAACACAUUUCAAUUAUUUCAAGGUUAAUGUUAUGACAUUUGCAAUGAUUAAAACACAAUAUGUCAAUAAAACAAAGUAAUGUAAAAUAUUUGUGGUUUUUAUAUAAACAUGUAUAUACCGGCUUAUCCAACACGUUGAAUAUAUUAAUCGACAAAACUGUGUCAUUGUGUAUCCUUAAAUGCUUUAAAUAUA